GACGAACGCUGGCGGCGUGCCUAAUACAUGCAAGUAGAACGCUGAAGGAGGAGCUUGCUUCUCUGGAUGAGUUGCGAACGGGUGGGUAACGCGUAGGUAACCUGCCUGGUAGCGGGGGAUAACUAUUGGAAACGAUAGCUAAUACCGCAUAAGAGUAGAUGUCGCAUGACAUUUGCUUAAAAGGUGCAAUUGCAUCACUACCAGAUGGACCUGCGUUGUAUUAGCUAGUUGGUGAGGUAACGGCUCACCAAGGCAACGAUACAUAGCCGACCUGAGAGGGUGAUCGGCCACACUGGGACUGAGACACGGCCCAGACUCCUACGGGAGGCAGCAGUAGGGAAUCUUCGGCAAUGGACGGAAGUCUGACCGAGCAACGCCGCGUGAGUGAAGAAGGUUUUCGGAUCGUAAAGCUCUGUUGUAAGAGAAGAACGAGUGUGAGAGUGGAAAGUUCACACUGUGACGGUAUCUUACCAGAAAGGGACGGCUAACUACGUG
rnacentral:rRNA from 1 species